AGCGGGCCUCACGGCCUUGUAAUUGGGAUGAAGGGAACCUAAACCCCUUCCAGAGUAUCAAUUGGAGGGCACCUCUGGUGCCAGCAGCCGCGGUAAUUCCAGCUCCAAUAGCGUAUAUUAAAAUUGUUGCAGUUAAAAAGCUCGUAGUUGAAUUUCUGCCGCAUCGCGGAGGCCCCCCCGGGACCAGGGGUGUUUUUUAUUUCAGACUCGCUUGCUUCUCCGACCGUUUACUUUGAUUUGAUAAGAGAGCUCAGCUCAGGCCCUUGCCUUGCCUACUUUAGUUUGGAAUGAAAAAGUAGGACUUUACUUUUAUUUUAUUUUGUUGGCGCCAAAGUAACUGGGUAAUGGGAACAGGGGGGGGCAGUCGUAUUUAACUGUUAGAGGUGAAAUUCUAAGAUCUUAGA
rnacentral:rRNA from 1 species